ACCAUCUUUUAAUCGAGAUUUUUGCCUUCGGGUACAAUUGAGACAGGUGGUGCAUGGUUGUCGUCAGCUCGUGUCGUGAGAUGUUGGGUUAAGUCCCGCAACGAGCGCAACCCUUGUGUUUUAGUUGCAAACAGGUCAAGCUGUGCACUCUAGACAGACUGCCGUGGACAACACGGAGGAAGGUGGGGAUGACGUCAAAUCAUCAUGCCCCUUAUGAUCUGGGCUACACACGUGCUACAAUGGCCGGUACAACGGGCAGCGAAGGAGCGAUCCGGAGCGAAUCCUAAAAAGCCGGUCCCAGUUCGGAUUGCAGGCUGAAACUCGCCUACAUGAAGUUGGAGUUGCUAGUAAUCGCGAAUCAGAAUGUCGCGGUGAAUGCGUUCCCGGGUCUU
rnacentral:rRNA from 1 species